rnacentral:rRNA from 1 species
UGGGGAAUAUUGCACAAUGGGGGAAACCCUGAUGCAGCGACGCCGCGUGAGCGAAGAAGUAUCUCGGUAUGUAAAGCUCUAUCAGCAGGGAAGAAAAUGACGGUACCUGACUAAGAAGCACCGGCUAAAUACGUGCCAGCAGCCGCGGUAAUACGUAUGGUGCAAGCGUUAUCCGGAUUUACUGGGUGUAAAGGGAGCGUAGACGGAGAAGCAAGUCUGGAGUGAAAACCCGGGGCUCAACCCCGGGACUGCUUUGGAAACUGUUUUUCUGGAGUGCCGGAGAGGUAAGCGGAAUUCCUAGUGUAGCGGUGAAAUGCGUAGAUAUUAGGAGGAACACCAGUGGCGAAGGCGGCUUACUGGACGGUAACUGACGUUGAGGCUCGAAAGCGUGGGGAGCAAACA